rnacentral:lncRNA from 1 species
GGUUGCUGCCUUUCCUUCAGGUGCAGGAAGACCCCAGUGUACUGGAACAAUAAAUUCCUCUUGCUUUUGCAUCGAUCCCUAGCUCCAAGUUGUUCACUGUGGCAGGGGUAGGGGUCCCAGGUAAGCUAAGGCUCGUUAGAGUCUUACAUUUGGUGCAUGGGCUGGGAAUUCGACCUCCUGUGAGGACACACCAGAGAGCCGUGAAUCAGAGGUCUCGAGCAGACCCACCUCACAGGUUCUGACUGUCGGGAAGAAAGAAGCACGGGAGGAGGGAUCCGGGCCUGAGAGAAGUCAAUCCUCCAAGACCCUUCGCCAGCGGAUCUGUUGCUCCAAGACCCUCCUCCUCCAUAUCACCCUUCCCUUUCCCCCAUGGCCCUGCCGGUGCUGGCUCCAGCUCUGGAAUCCUCAGCCCAUAUAGGACCAGGGCCAUUGUAUCCCACUUUACCGGAGGAAUGAACAGGAGGAGAACCCCAACUUCCCGGUCCUGCCAUGGGGACCCAAAGUCUGAGAGCCACCUCCCCUGAUACCACGGUGGCUCUCUUGCUGGGGACAUAUGGGCCUCUGGAAAAGGGCAAUCAGGCUAUGCAAUAUUGGCCCUUCUCUUUGGCUGACUUGUACAACUGGAAGGCCCAACCCCCCCCCCUUUCCCAAGGGGCAGAUUAAUGUCUUUGAGACUGUUUUAUUUACUCAUCAGCCCACCUAGGUGAUAUCCAACAACUCACGAGAGUACUCUUCAUGACCGAAGAGAGAGAAGAUAAUGCAGGAAGCUAGAAAGACAUGGGGGCACCAUCGAUUGACCAGGUUGUUGUCGACAGCGGGCUUUCUCUGACUAGACCUGAGUAGGACUUGUCUUAGUCAGGGUUUCUACUCCUGCACAAACAUCAUGACCAUGUUUUGGGGAAGCAAGCCAUUAAAGAACAUCCCUCCAUGGCCGCCUCUGCAUCAGCUCCUGUUUUCUGACCUGCUUGAGUUCCAGUCCUGACUUCCUUCAGUGAUGAACAGCAGUAUGGAAGUGUAAGCCGAAUAAACCCUUUCCUCCCCAA